CCUACGGGCGGCAGCAGUGAGGAAUAUUGGUCAAUGGUCGCAAGUCUGAACCAGCCAAGCCGCGUGCGGGAUGAAGGUACUGUGUAUCGUAAACCUCUUUUGUCAGAGGGCAAACGCCGGUACGUGUAUCCGGAUGAGUGUAUCGUAAGAAUAAGCAUCGGCUAACUCCGUGCCAGCAGCCGCGGUAAUACGGAGGAUGCGAGCGUUAUCCGGAUUUAUUGGGUUUAAAGGGUGCGGAGGCGGUUUGUUAAGUUAGCGGUGAAAGGGCGGGGCUCAACCCCGGCACGGCCUUUAAAACUGGCAGACUCGAGUAGGAGAGAGGUAUGCGGAAUGUGUGGUGUAGCGGUGAAAUGCAGAGAGAU
rnacentral:rRNA from 1 species